UGACUUCCAAGGCGCUGUAGUCGGCGGAGGGAUCGAAGGUGCUGAACUGGAAAACCCAGCGCUUCGACGGGCUGAAACGGGAGAUGAGAUGGAGGAGGUGGAGGAGGAGGAGAGAGAGGAAGGUGGGGUUCACCGGGAGAGGGCCUAGAGCUCGGCCCAUUUCAUGGAAGCUUGAGGGGGUCUUGGUGGGGAUUCGAGAAGACGAUGAAGGAGGAGGAGGAGGAAGGAAAGAGGAGAUAAAGAACCUGCGGUGGCCUCGUUUUUGUUUUACAUUAAACACAUCACCCUCCCCCUCUCUCUAUCUCUCUCAAUCGUUGCUUGAAACUUUCCAAUACAUCACUCGAAGAAAAGUCUCUGCAGAGGGAGCCGAAAAGUUUUUUUUUCUCGCUUCAACCAUGGGAGGGUUUAAGCUAGUCUCACUCUCUCCUCUCU
rnacentral:lncRNA from 1 species